ensembl:misc_RNA 7SK 7SK RNA
GGAUGUGAGGGUGAACUGGCUGCAACCUCCGUCACCCCACUAAUAACCAGAGCUGCUUCUGCAGAUCUGAUAGCCCAGGUAGGUGUCCCCUGCCUCUCCCAACACUCACUCAUUCUGUUUGUGUGCUCAGCUAGGUUCAAGAGGAUGACCUCCUCCAGACAGACAUCGAUUGGUAGAGGGCAUAUGAGUAACUGCGUGUCCUGCUAGAGCAUCCAAACAAAUACCUCAUAAACUUUAUCUUUCAGAAUAAAUUAUCAAAAGUCCAUUUUAGCAGAUAAAUAUUUAAAGUGGGGGGGUCGGACGGUAGCACAGUAGGUUAAGCGCAUUU